CGUCAUGUUCAACACCAACUACAACUCCCUCUACGACGACGUCUCCUCCUCCUUGGCGGCCUCCACCUCCACCUUCUUCUCCACCGCCACCGCACCAUCCUCCUCUGAAUCCGACUCAUCCGACAUCGAUGUCGACUCCCUGCCGCCGGAUUUCGCCACCGUCUUGGCCUCCCAACGCUUCUUCUUCUCUUCCCCUGGCCGCUCCAAUUCCAUCUCCGACUCUUAUAAUAACGACAAGGUCGACCACGCGCCGCCGCUGGAAGGAGGGGUGGCGGUGAAU
rnacentral:lncRNA from 1 species